CAAGACUGGAACAACACAGCAGGACAGACUGUUUUGUUGCUUCCAUAAGACAAGCAAAUUUUGAUGGAGAAGGAAAGAGACGCAAAGGACCUGAUGGAACAAAGACCUGGAGCAGCUCUGACAACAAAAUGAUAUCAGGCUUCUGUCUCCACCCACCAGGUGGAGAUGGCAUAAUGGGACCCAUGUCAGUGACACAGAAUACUCUGUCCUCUCAGCCCCAGGCUUUGUCCCCAGGGGAAGGGGCAAGAGGCUGACAACAACAGCAAAGAUAAUCACACCAACAUUUUAACAGUUCUUCUGAAUCAGUAGGAUAAUUCAACAGGCCACUUCUACAGAGUGACCAGAAAGUUGGAAAAGAGGACCACAGAGGAAAAAUUAAAAGAACUAUGAUGAUCUGUUGUAAAGCCAAGAAACUGGAAUGGUUCCUGGCACAUAGUAGAUACUGAAAUAAUAUUUGUUAAAUAAAUGAAUGAACUGUAGAAGACCAAGAAGACCAAUGGGGUUACUCAGAAGUGUGGCAGCCUACACAGGCUGCUAGAAGACGUGUGCACUGAGGGGCCAUACAACAUAAAUUUUCAGAACAUGGGCUUUGCCACAGACUCAAAAACUGAGUCAAGACCUCAGUUUCCCUGCCUGUUAAGUGGGAGUAACAAUAUUAUUGCAUCACAGAGCAGUUGGAAGCCAUAAAUGAGAUACACAUGUCAAGCAUGUAGCACCGAGUCUGACUCCUGGCAAGUGCAGAAGAGAAGAUAGCUGCAAAUGUGCCUGCCAUCACAGCCAUGAUUCUCCUGAUCACAAGAUUUGCCAGUGAUUGCCUCUUCAAUUUUCACUGACUCUCAGUUGAUUACCAUUUUCCAAAAAGCAGCAAGUGGUUUGGUUUUUGUUCUUUUGCUGCCAUCUGUAAGAGAUUGGUGACUAGCUGGGAGUGUGCCGUGGGGUGCUGAGAGGCCAGCAUUGCUAUUCUGCCUGUGAAGCACCUUGCCCCGCAUGCAGCCCUGGGGAUAAGUCUCUGCACUCAGCCGCCUUGAAGGUUUUGGGGAAUAUGGCCACAAGUGAGAAACCCAGGGUAUUGCGGGCCUGUGAGCCCACAGGACAGGGCACAGCCUGUCCAGCCUGGACGUGUGCUGGCUCUGUGACCCCUGCGCCCCCCAACCACUCAGCCUCGUGUUCUUCCUGUGGAAAACAGGACGGUGUUUCCUGCUCUGUUUCUACCAGGUUUGGAUGACCAUGACACGAAAGAGGUUAUGACGAAGAGCUUUGGCAACCCUAAACUGCUAUAUAAAUCCCCGACCGUCGUGAUGUCAUCAGCAUUGUCUGCAGCGGGAGGGGGCCCGACUAGCUGACUGGGGAUCCCCAGCUCCGUGGACAUCUCGGUGUCACCCACACCCUAUACCUCAUAGACACACGCCCUGUUCGCGGCGCCAGGAUCAAAUACCACUCUGAGAUGUGUCUCCGGGGGGUUAGAAUCCAGGCCCUCAUUCCCAGGAGCACCACCAGUGCACCCCCGGUCAGGCUGGUGGGUGUCUGCCAGAUGUGCGAGGCAGGAAAUUAGCACCAGCUCUGAAUAAACAUCUCUGCACUUUCGUAGGACUGGACUCAUCGAAGUCCCACGGUCCCCCGCCCUGACGAGACAGACACGAUCCAGCCCUCCCCAUCCCAGCCUCAACAUUUCUGGGGAGCACUCACUCUUAGGUGGCAGCACUGUCCAGGGCUCCACGAUGCCUCCUGAGGCAGACAGGCAGGGACAGGAUAUGGUGGCGCCUGUGGCCUCGGCCCGUGGGCCAGACACCUGACCCAGCCCACAGAACCAAGUCACCGCUGAGAAGCAACUUUCCUUUCACUUGGCCAGAGCCGGGCCCCAGCUGCAGCAGGCAGGGUGCUUGCCUCAGGCCCUACGUGCAUUUAUGAGAUAAAUGUUAACUGCGUGACUGCUAUGCACUAUGUACUAGGUGCUAGGAAUGCAUCAGUGAACAGAGCUGACUUUGAAUUUCCCUUCCCUUAUGGAACUUCCAUUCUAAUGUGGGGACGAUGAGGGACAGAAAAGAAAAGGUAAAGAACUAGAUUAUGAAGUGUGUUGUUGUUAAGUCGCUAAGACGUGUCCAACUUUUUUGCGACCCUAGGCACCAUAGCCCACCAGACUCCUAUGUCCAUGGAAUUCUCCAGGCAAGAAUACUGGAGAGAGUUGUCAUUUCC